AUUGAACGCUGGCGGCAGGCCUAACACAUGCAAGUCGAGCGAGCGGAGGACGGGUGAGUAAUGUCUGGGAAACUGCCUGAUGGAGGGGGAUAAAUACUGGAAACGGUAGCUAAUACCGCAUACCAUCAGAUGUGCCCAGAUGGGAUUAGCUAGUAGGUGGGGUAACGGAUCACCUAGGCUAGGUUCCCUAGCUGGUCUGAUAGGAUGACCAGCCACACUGGAACUGAGACACGGUCCAGGCUCCUACGUGAGGCAGCAGUGGGGAAUAUUGCACAAUGUGCGCAAGCCUGAUGCAGCCAUGCCGCUUGUGUGAAGAAGGCCUUCGGGUGGUAAAGCACUUUCAGCGGGGAGGCGUUACCCGCAGAAGAAGCACCGGCUAACUCCGUGCCAGCAGCCGCGGUAAUAC
rnacentral:rRNA from 1 species